rnacentral:pre_miRNA from 1 species
AAUGGCACUGGAAGAAUUCACGGGGUUCUUCGCACUCCCGUGGACUUUGAGUGCCAUCCU